GAUGAACGCUGGCGGCGUGCCUAAUACAUGCAAGUCGAGCGAACUGAUUAGAAGCUUGCUUCUAUGACGUUAGCGGCGGACGGGUGAGUAACACGUGGGCAACCUGCCUGUAAGACUGGGAUAACUUCGGGAAACCGAAGCUAAUACCGGAUAGGAUCCUCUCCUUCAUGGGAGAUGAUUGAAAGAUGGUUUCGGCUAUCACUUACAGAUGGGCCAGCGGUGCAUUAGCUAGUUGGUGAGGUAACGGCUCACCAAGGCAACGAUGCAUAGCCGACCUGAAGGGGUGGUCGGCCACACUGGGACUAAGACACGGCCCAGACUCCUACGGGAGGCAGCAGUAGGGAAUCUUCCGCAAUGGACGAAAGUCUGACGGAGCAACGCCGCGUGAGUGAUGAAGGCUUUCGGGUCGUAAAACUCUGUUGUUAGGGAAGAACAAGUACGAGAGUAACUGCUCGUACCUUGACGGUACCUAACCAGAAAGCCACGGCUAACUACGUGCCAGCAGCCGCCGUAAGAC
rnacentral:rRNA from 1 species